rnacentral:rRNA from 1 species
UACGGGGGGGGCAAGCGUUGUUCGGAAUUACUGGGCGUAAAGCGCGUGUAGGCGGCUCUUCAAGUCGAGUGUGAAAGCUCCAGGCUUAACCUGGGAAUUGCGCUCGAUACUGUUGAGCUAGAGUGUGGAAGGGGCUACUGGAAUUCCGUGUGUAGCGGUGAAAUGCGUAGAUAUUGGGAGGAACACCAGUGGCGAAGGCGGCUCACUGGACCGGAACUGACGCUGAGGCGCGAAAGCGUGGGGAGCAAACAGG